rnacentral:rRNA from 1 species
UACAGAGGGUGCGAGCGUUAAUCGGAAUUACUGGGCGUAAAGCGCGCGUAGGCGGCUUUGCAAGUCGGAUGUGAAAUCCCCAGGCUUAACCUGGGAACUGCGAUUCGAGACUGCAUUGCUAGAGUAUGGGAGAGGGUAGUGGAAUUCCCGGUGUAGUGGUGAAAUGCGUAGAUAUCGGGAGGAACACCAGUGGCGAAGGCGACUACCUGGCCUGUUCUUGACGCUGAGGCGCGAAAGCUAGGGGAGCAAACGGGG